GGGGAUGGGGCUCAGUGGUAGAGCUCUUGUCUUACAUACACAAGGCACUGGAUUCGAUCUCCAGCACCA
rnacentral:tRNA from 1 species